UAGUGGCGAACGGGUGAGUAACACGUGGGCAAUCUGCCCUUCACUCUGGGACAAGCCCUGGAAACGGGGUCUAAUACCGGAUAAUACCUGCCUGGGCAUCUGGGUGGGUUAAAAGCUCCGGCGGUGAAGGAUGAGCCCGCGGCCUAUCAGCUUGUUGGUGAGGUAGUGGCUCACCAAGGCGACGACGGGUAGCCGGCCUGAGAGGGCGACCGGCCACACUGGGACUGAGACACGGCCCAGACUCCUACGGGAGGCAGCAGUGGGGAAUAUUGCACAAUGGGCGAAAGCCUGAUGCAGCGACGCCGCGUGAGGGAUGACGGCCUUCGGGUUGUAAACCUCUUUCAGCAGGGAAGAAGCGAAAGUGACGGUACCUGCAGAAGAAGCGCCGGCUAACUACGUGCCAGCAGCCGCGGUAAUACGUAGGGCGCAAGCGUUGUCCGGAAUUAUUGGGCGUAAAGAGCUCGUAGGCGGCUUGUCACGUCGGGUGUGAAAGCCCGGGGCUUAACCCCGGGUCUGCAUUCGAUACGGGCUAGCUAGAGUGUGGUAGGGGAGAUCGGAAUUCCU
rnacentral:rRNA from 3 species